CUCGGGAACUGAGGAUAAUACUGUAUAAGGAAAUCCAACUGGAAUGUGUAUUUCCUAAAACGCAAGGUCUAAGGAUGAGUCGGCGGCGGAUUAGGUUGUUGGCGAGGUAAUGCAGCGCAAAACAAAGUUUUGCUGGGUGCAAAGCUAGCGCUUUACACGCUCACCAAGCCGAAGAUCCGUAGGGGCCUUGAGAGAGGUAGCCCCGAGAAGGGCACUGAGAUACUGGCCCUAGCUCCACGGAGUGCAGCAGGCGCGAAACCUUUACAAUGCACGAAAGUGUGAUAAGGGGACCCUAAGUGAUGUUGCAAUGCAACAUCUUUUGCUAAGGGCAAAAACCUUAGCGAAUAAGUGGUGGGCAAUACCUGUGCCAGCCGCCGCGGUAACCCAGGAGCCACAAGUGGCAAUCACCUUUAUUGGGCCUAAAGCGUCCGUAGCCGGUCUUGUAAAUUUUCUGUGAAAUCGUUGUGCUUAACGCAACGGCGUGCAGAAAACACUGUAAGACUUGGGACCGGGAGGAGUUAGGGGUAUUUCUGGGGGAGCGGUAAAAUGCUAUAAUCCCAGAAGGACCACCUGUGGCGAAGGCGCCUAACUAGAACGGAUCCGACGGUGAGGGACGAAAGCUAGGGGAGCAAUC
rnacentral:rRNA from 1 species